GCCGGGUUGGCGGAAUGGCAGACGCUAUGAGCUCAAACCUCAUUGUCCGAAAGGGCGUGCGGGUUCGAAUCCCGCACCCGGCACC
rnacentral:tRNA from 1 species